rnacentral:rRNA from 1 species
UGAUGCAGCUAUGCCGCGUGUAUGAAGAAGGCCUUCGGGUUGUAAAGUACUUUCAACAAGAAAGAAAAGAUAAAAUCUAAUAUAUUUUAUUAUUGACGUUACUUGUAAAAGAAGCACCGGCUAACUCCGUGCCAGCAGCCGCGGUAAUACGGAGGGUGCUAGCGUUAAUCGGAAUUACUGGGCGUAAAGAGCACGUAGGCGGUUAAUUAAGUCAGAUGUGAAAUCCCUAAGCUUAACUUAGGAACUGCAUUUGAAACUAAUUAACUUGAGUUUCGUAGAGGGGGGUAGAAUUCCAGGUGUAGCGGUGAAAUGCGUAGAUAUCUGGAGGAAUACCAGUGGCGAAGGCGACCCCCUGGACGAAUACUGACGCUCAGGUGCGAAAGCAUGGGGAGCAAACAGGAUUAGAUACCCUGGUAGUCCAUGCUGUAAACGAUGUCGACUUGAAGGUUGUAAGCUUGACUUAUAACUUUCGUAGCUAACGCGUUAAGUCGACCGCCUGGGGAGUACGACCGCAAGGUUAAAACUCAAAUGAAUUGACGGGGGCCCGCACAAGCGGUGGAGCAUGUGGUUUAAUUCGAUGCAACGCGAAAAACCUUACCUGGUCUUGACAUCCAUGGAAUUUAAUAGAGAUAUUUAAGUGCCUUCGGGAACCAUGAGACAGGUGCUGCAUGGCUGUCGUCAGCUCGUGUUGUGAAAUGUUGGGUUAAGUCCCGCAACGAGCGCAACCCUUGUCCUUUGUUGCCAUCAGUUUAAGCUGGGAACUCAAAGGAAACUGCCGGUGAUAAACCGGAGGAAGGUGAGGACGACGUCAAGUCAUCAUGGCCCUUACGACCAGGGCUACACACGUGCUACAAUGGUAUAUACAAAGAGAAGCAGCCUCGUAAGAGUGAGCGGAUCUCACAAAAUAUAUCUUAGUUCGGAUUGGAGUCUGCAACUCGACUCUAUGAAGUCGGAAUCGCUAGUAAUCGUAGAUCAGAACGCUACGGUGAAUACGUUCCCGGGCCUUGUACACACCGCCCGUCACACCAUGGGAGUGGGUUGUAAAAGAAGUAAGUUGCUUAACCAUUAUUUCGGAGGGCGCUUACCACUU